CACGUAGGGGGCAAGCGUUGUCCGGAUUUAUUGGGCGUAAAGGGCUCGUAGGCGGUUCGGCAAGUCGGGUGUGAAACCUCCAGGCUCAACCUGGAGUCGCCACUCGAAACUGCUGUGACUAGAGUCCGGUAGGGGAGCAUGGAAUUCCUGGUGUAGCGGUGGAAUGCGCAGAUAUCAGGAAGAACACCAGUGGCGAAGGCGAUGCUCUGGGCCGGUACUGACGCUGAGGAGCGAAAGCAUGGGGAGCGAACAGG
rnacentral:misc_RNA from 1 species